GCUCCGCUGUUUACCUUGCCUAGGACAGAGUUUUGGAACGACAAGAGAAUUUUCCUAUCAACAGGCAGAGCCCCACAUGCCUGAGACAAAAACAGGUUUACUUUUGGAGUUACAAACACAACAAGAGGGCAGCCUGCUCAGAUUAGUUUAUACACCACUAUCAAGUCAGGAUCUUCUGACAACCUUCUCUUUUACUGUAUUUUUAUUUGAUAUCACUUAUCUGUGGUUUUUUUCCUUUGCUCACAAAGUGGAACAAUCUCUGACAUGAGGACCUGGAAUCACACCAACAAGAUAAAAGUGAACGUGGUCACAGCGGCGAGGACCGCUUUACAAACAUCACAGGAUACUUCACGAAGCAGAUUAGCCAGUAGGAGAAGAGAGGCGUGAACCACAGGCCCGCUCAGUCGCGGUUUCACCUUCGGCCCGCGGUGCAGUCAGAGGUACUUGCAGAAGCUUGCGUUGCAGGAGGGAGGAG